rnacentral:rRNA from 1 species
GCUUGCACAGGUGCUGCAUGGCUGUCGUCAGCUCGUGUCGUGAGAUGUUCGGUUAAGUCCGCUAACGAGCGCAACCCUCACUGUGUGUUAUAUGUGUCACACGGGACUGCCGGUUUUAAGCCGGAGGAAGGUGGGGAUGACGUCAAGUCAGCAUGGCCUUUAUAUCCUGGGCUACACACACGCUACAAUGGUCGGUACAAUAGGUUGCCAAGCCGCGAGGCGGAGCCAAUCCACAAAGCCGGCCUCAGUUCAGAUUGUAGGCUGCAACUCGCCUGCAUGAAGAUGGAGUUGCUAGUAACCGCAGGUCAGCAAUACUGCGGUGAAUACGUUCCCGGGUCUU